UACGGGGGGGCUAGUGUUACUCAUCAUUACUGGGUGUAAAGCGUAUGUAGGCUGUUUAUUAAGUCUAAAUGAUGACAAUCUAAGCAUAACGUUAGAAAAUUUUUUUAUAGCUGGUAAACUAAGAGGUCAAAGGAGGAUAGCUAUAUUUCAUGAAGUUUAGGGAUGAAAUCCUUAGAGAUCAGGGGAUAACCGAGCAGGCGUAGGCGGCUUCCAUAAUGAUUCUGACGCU
rnacentral:rRNA from 1 species